UCUUUAGUAAAGGAACUUAGAUGCCCAAGAGUAAACAAAAAAUGAAACCUUAAUUUCAUGACUGGGUUGGUUCUUGGAUAUUUUCAGAAGGCAGAGAGACAAACAUGUUUAUACAUACUAAAAACAUAUUCAUUGUUUACCUGAAAUUUGAGCUUACCUGGGUGUCCUGCAAUUUUGUGUCCCAAACUGGCAGCCCUAAAUAGAUCAUUUUUAAUGGUGGAAACUCUUCAGUUAAUCUAUGUCAUACAGUAUUCUGAGGGAGCACAGUUUAAGCAUCAUAUUUUUUUGCUCCCAAAUUCAGAAUGAAAAAUUCAGUUGUUCUACUUAUGGAAACUAAUUCUGAGCAAGGGUUUUCUUUUGAAAAUCAAUGAAAGGAGGAUGCAAUUUAAGCCCAAUCUUUGAAAAUGGUUUUGCUUCAGUUGGACCUCAAAAUGGAUUUUUGAAGACAAGUAAACAUUUAGGUAGCAAGUAGUUAGGUCCUGGGGCUCCCUGACUUACUACAAAUGAAACUUGCCUUUCAGGAUAAGCGAGACGCUUAUGCAUACACCAACUAUCCUCAGUGCCCAGCUUUGUAGUCUUCAUCUAAAUCAAUAUCAAGAAAUGCUAUGAUAUACAAAUUCCUGCUUGAGUGAUAAUGGACCAAUGACCAAUAAUUCUCUGGCUACAUAGACACCUUGGAGAGCUUGUUCUGAAGUUUCUUUAGCCCUGAUUUUUAACCAGGUGCAAGAUAGAACAUGAUAUUUUUAUAACACUUAACCCAUCUGUGUUUAGUUUCACACAUGGAAAAUGAAACUAUUAUCUACUUCCACAUACAUUACAGAAAUAAUUAAAGAAAUAUUGAAAUAAUAUGAAACUAACAGCAAUUUAUGUCUCGGUUAUUCCCAGACCCCUCAUUUUGUUAAAAUGAGCACUGUUAUUUCUAUCUGCUAGCAAAUCCCAGCAGAGCCUCAUUUAGCAUCUGCUCAGUUCAUGGUCCAUGGUCUCAGAGAACAAGGAAGAAAUCAAAAAAGGCCUUCAUGAUGUAAAUCUAACCAUCAAAAGAAAAGGAACCCUCUUUAUUCACACUCUUCAAAAUUGCUUGACUAUUUCAAGCAAAGAUGAUUUUCGAGAUUGUUGACUAUUAUGUAACAGAUGGCCCGACAGACCUCCGAC
rnacentral:lncRNA from 1 species